AGCGGAGGAAAAGAAACCAACAGGGAUUGCCCUAGUAACGGCGAGUGAAGCGGCAACAGCUCAAAUUUGAAAGCUGGCCUUCGGGUCCGCAUUGUAAUUUGUAGAGGAUGCUUUGGGUGAAACGCCAGUCUAAGUUCCUUGGAACAGGACGUCAUAGAGGGUGAGAAUCCCGUAUGUGACUGGAAAUGUUAACCUAUGUAAAGCUCCUUCGACGAGUCGAGUUGUUUGGGAAUGCAGCUCUAAAUGGGAGGUAAAUUUCUUCUAAAGCUAAAUAUUGGCGAGAGACCGAUAGCGCACAAGUAGAGUGAUCGAAAGAUGAAAAGCACUUUGGAAAGAGAGUUAAAAAGCACGUGAAAUUGUUGAAAGGGAAGCGCUUGCAAUCAGACUUGUUUAAACUGUUCGGCCGGUCUUCUGACCGGUUUACUCAGUUUGGACAGGCCAGCAUCAGUUUCGGCGGCCGGAUAAAGGCUCUGGGAAUGUGGCCUCCACUUCGGUGGAGGUGUUAUAGCCCAGUGUGUAAUACGGCCAGCCGGGACUGAGGUCCGCGCUUCGGCUAGGAUGCUGGCGUAAUGGUUGUAAGCGACCCGUCUU
rnacentral:rRNA from 1 species